rnacentral:rRNA from 1 species
UACGGAGGGUGCAAGCGUUAUCCGGAUUCACUGGGUUUAAAGGGUGCGUAGGUGGGCAAGUAAGUCAGUGGUGAAAUCUUCAAGCUUAACUUGGAAACUGCCAUUGAUACUAUUUAGCUUGAAUACUUUGGAGGUAAGCGGAAUAUGUCAUGUAGCGGUGAAAUGCUUAGAUAUGACAUAGAACACCAAUUGCGAAGGCAGCUGGCUACAGGAAUAUUGACACUGAGGCACGAAAGCGUGGGGAUCAAACAGG